AACAGGAUUAGAUACCCUGGUAGUCCAUGCUGUAAACGAUGAUUACUAGGUGUGGGAAGAUUGACCCUUUCCGUGCCGCAGUUAACACAAUAAGUAAUCCACCUGGGGAGUACGACCGCAAGGUUGAAACUCAAAGGAAUUGACGGGGGCCCGCACAAGCAGUGGAGUAUGUGGUUUAAUUCGAAGCAACGCGAAGAACCUUACCAGGUCUUGACAUCCAACGACCGCCUAAGAGAUUAGGCUUUCCUUCGGGACGUUGAGACAGGUGGUGCAUGGUUGUCGUCAGCUCGUGUCGUGAGAUGUUGGGUUAAGUCCCGCAACGAGCGCAACCCUUAUUACUAGUUACUACGCAAGAGGACUCUAGUGAGACUGCCGUUGACAAAACGGAGGAAGGUGGGGAUGACGUCAAAUCAUCAUGCCCUUUAUGACCUGGGCUACACACGUACUACAAUGGCUAUUAACAGAGAGAAGCAAGACCGCAAGGUGGAGCAAACCUCAGAAAAAUAGUCUCAGUUCGGAUUGGGGGCUGCAACCCGCCCCCAUGAAGCCGGAAUUGCUAGUAAUCGCGGAUCAGCAUGCCGCGGUGAAUACGUUCCCGGGCCUUGUACACACCGCCCGUCACACCAUGAGAGCCGGGGGGACCCGAAGUCGGUAGUCUAACCGCAAGGAGGACGCCGCCGAAGGUAAAACUGGUGAUUGGGGUGAAGUCGUAACAAGGUAACC
rnacentral:rRNA from 1 species